rnacentral:sRNA from 1 species
CCAUAACUAUCUUGGCUCAAG